AUUGAACGCUGGCGGCAGGCCUAACACAUGCAAGUCGAACGAGUGGCGGACGGGUGAGUAAUGCCUGGGAAACUGCCUGAUGGAGGGGGAUAACUACUGGAAACGGUAGGUACUACCGCAUACCAUCGGUUGUGCCCAGAUGGGAUUGGCUAGUGGGUGGGGUAAAGGAUCGGCCAGGCGAGGCUCCCUAGCUGGUGUGAGCGGAUGACCAGCCACACUGGAACGGAACCACGGUCCGGACUCCUACGGGAGGCGGCAGGGGAGAAUAGUGCACAAGGGGAGCGAGGCUAAUGCAGCCAUGCCGCGUGUAUGAAGAAGGCCUUCGGGUUUUAAAGUACUUUCGGCGGGGAAGCGUUACCCGCAGAAGAAGCACCGGCUAACUCCGUGCCAGCAGUCGCGGUAAUAC
rnacentral:rRNA from 1 species